GCCCCUGUGGCGGAAUUGGUAGACGCGCUCGACUCAAAAUCGAGUUCUGCAAAGAGUGCUGGUUCGAGUCCGGCCAGGGGCACCA
rnacentral:tRNA from 1 species